rnacentral:rRNA from 1 species
GAUGAACGCUGGCGGCGUGCUUAACACAUGCAAGUCGAACGAACAGACGCGGAGCUUGCUCCUCUCACGUUAGCCGCGGACGUGUGUGUAACACGUGUAUCACCUACCUGUAUGUCUGGGAUCACUUCGGGACCCCGGAGCUAAUACCGUAUAAUCUAUUGAACCGCAUGGUUCAAUAGUGAGUUUCGGUUUUGCUGUCUCUUCUAGCUGGUUCCGCGCCGCAUUAGCUAGUUGGUAAGGUAACGGCCUACCAAGGCUACGAUGCGUAGCCGAACUGAGAGGGUGAUCGGCCACACUGGAACUGAGACACGGUCCAGACGCCUACGGGAGGCAGCAGUAGGGAAUGUUCGGCAAUGGGCGAAAGCCUGACGGAGCAACGCCGCGUGAGUGAUGAAGGCCUUCGGAUCGUAAAACGCUGUUACUAGGGAAGAACAAAUGUGUAAGUAAACAGGCAGGUCUUGACGGUACCUGAUCAAAAAGCAACGGCUAACUACGUG